GUUGGAGAUGGGUUGGAAGGGUCCUUAAAUAUCACAGGACCAUGAGAUGGGUUGGGGUUGGGUUGGGAGGGUCCUUAAAGAUCACAGGACCAUGAGAUGGGUUGGGGUCGGGUUGGGAGGGUCCUUAAAGGUCACAGGACCAUCAGAUGGGUUGGGGUUGGGUUGGGAGGGUCCUUAAAGAUCGCAGAACUACAGAAUGGCUUGGAGUUGGGUUGGGAGGGUCUUUGAAAGUCACAGAUCUACAAAAUGGGUUGGGGUUGGGUUGGGUGGGUCCUUAAAGGUCAAAGAACCAUGAAAUGGGAUUGGAAGGGUCCUUAAAGGUCAAAGAACCAUCAGAUGGGUUGGGGUUGGAUUGGAAGGGUCCUUAAAGGUCAAAGAACCAUCAGAUGGGUUGGGAUUGGAUUGGAAGGGUCCUUAAAGAUCACAGAACCAUCAGAUGGGUUGGGAUUGGAUUGGAAGGGUCCUUAAAGGUCACCGAACCAUCAGAUGGGUUGGGGUUGGGUUGGGAGGGUCCUUAAAGGUCAAAGAACCAUCAGAUGGGUUGGGGUUGGAUUGGAAGGGUCCUUAAAGGUCAAAGAACCAUGAGAUGGGUUGGGGUUGGAUUGGAAGGGUCCUUAAAGAUCACAGAACCAUCAGAUGGGUUGGGAUUGGAUUGGAAGGGUCCUUAAAGGUCACCGAACCAUCAGAUGGGUUGGGGUUGGGUUGGGAGGGUCCUUAAAGGUCAAAGAACCAUCAGAUGGGUUGGGGUUGGAUUGGGAGGGUCCUUAAAGGUCAAAGAACCAUCAGAUGGGUUGGGGUUGGGUUGGGAGGGUCCUUAAAGGUCAC